AUAAAUAUUUCCUUCAUUCCACAUGAAUCUCAGGUGUAUACUCUUGAUGUACCAGAUGCAUUCUAUUACUGUUAUAGUCCAGACCCUGGUAAUGCAAAGGGAAAAGAUGCCAUUAUGGAAACAAUGGCUGACCAGAUAGUUACAGUGUGUGCCACCUUGGAUGAAAAUCCCGGAGUAAGAUAUAAAAGUAAACCUCUAGAUAAUGCCAGUAAGCUUGCACAGCUUGUUGAAAAAAAGCUUGAAGACUACUACAAGAUUGAUGAAAAGAGCCUAAUAAAGGGUAAAACUCAUUCACAGCUCUUAAUAAUUGAUCGUGGCUUUGAUCCUGUGUCCACUGUCCUGCAUGAACUGACCUUUCAGGCAAUGGCAUAUGAUCUACUACCAAUUGAGAAUGAUACAUACAAGCAAGUAUAACUUGAAGGGCAUAUAAAGGGCAUAUACAAACAGGAUAGAAUAUGAGCAUUUAAUGAUUUAUAUAGGCACCAGAGAUCUGAAAGCCCCUAUAACCUUUUCUAUUCAGAGACUUUAUCCUUCUCUUAUUCCUACAGUUAUAGUCUUUGACAGAUAUGUUGACCUUGUAAAUUAAAGUGUAAUUUGAUUGCUUUGGAGCAUUUUUGGUGUGUUUGCUUCCUUAACUGUGUGUACAGUAGAGCUACAUUUAAACACAUGGAAUUUGGCCCUUUUGCUUUUAAAAGUAAAUACCAGGCUCACUAUCAUAUUUAUUGAAGGAGAAACCAUAUUCGAAAUUGUUAGGCUAUAAUUGUUCUGAAUCAUACAUUCAAAAGUGUAUGUGUCUUAUCAACAUAAUGUAUUUUAAAAGAUUGGAACACUAGAAGACUAAAUAGGAUGGCUAUUGAGGACAAUAGGCAUAGUUUUACCAUUUUGGUACCUUCUACUGAGUUAAUCUUGGUAUAAACAUAUUUACUUUAAAAGUAAUGUCAAAUAAAAACCUAAAUGAAAAAUGAAAUAGUUUUCUAUCAAGGAAUGCAUCUUACUGUAUCUCUGUAUCAUUUAUGGUGUAUGUGUUACAUACAUUACAAAUGUUAUUUGAUGUCGUGAUUUCUGAAUCCAAACUGGUAUUUGUCAGCUAAGAUUUACUGCUUGAGUACAGUAAUAAAAAUGAAAAUAGUUUUCUGAAAUUUUAUGUUUAAACUAAUUUGUUAGUUUUAAGAUACAGACACUUGUGAUAGUUAUGAUACUGUUUUUUUCUUAAAUAUUGUUAAAAUUUGUAUUUUUAUUUGCAUUCUGGUCAAAUCUUGGUUUCUGAGUUUUUCUCUGUAUUAUCCGUAUUAAUGUUAGAUAACAUAGCUAUUUUUCUAAUAUAAAAGUUUUUUUAAGCAGUUUAUUCAGAGGGGAUAUUAUUUACCUCUGUUACCCUGUAGGUCUCUAAACUUUUAAGUAGACUUAUUUUUUAAAAAGCUACUAUACUCCCUUCUUUCUGAAUCAAAAACAUUCAGAGAUAAGAAUUAGAUGGAAGUAAAGCUCCCUGUGGUUUGCGCUCCAUCACAAUUUUUUUUUUUUUUUUUUAGUAGAGGCGGGGUUUCCCCAUGUUGGCCAGGCUAGUCUUGAACUCCUGACCUCAGGUGAUCCCCCUGCCUCGGCCUCCCAAAGCGCUGGGAUUGCAGGGGUGAGCCACCACGCCCAGCCUUCAUCACAAUUUUUUAUGGAAACAGAAUACAAAGCAGCAGGAAGCUCUAAGUGUCCAGAUUCAAGUUUUCAUGUUGGUGCCUUCUUUAAAUUUACUUUUUUUUUUUUUUCUUUUUUUGAGACAGAGUCUUACUCUGUCACCCAGGCUGGAGUGCAGUGGCGCGAUCUCAGCUCAUUGCAGCCUUCGUCCCCUGAGUUCAAAUGAUUCCCGGCCUCAGCCUCCCAAGUAACUGGCACUACAAGUGUGCACCACUGCGCCUGGCUCAUUUUUGUGUUUUUAGUAGAAAUGGGGUUUUGCUGUGUUGGCCAGGCUGGUCUCGAACUCCUGGCCUCACAUGAUCCACCCACCUCGGCCUCCCAACUAAAUUUACUUUUAAAAUGGGAUAUUCAUCACCUGAGUAUUGUCAGGCUUGUUACUCUUAUCUCUGUUCACAAAUCACUUAUAAGUCAAAGGUAUUGUAUAAGAACAAAGUGUAUUUUAAAUGACAAAAGGGCUUUCAUCCUUAGUGCAGCCUUAUAUAAUUGAGCACAGUGAUUCUGUCUUUGGACAUCUGUAAUCCACCCAGGUGGAUGGUUUUAUAGAUUGAUGUGUAAUUUGUGGGGGUUAUAGAAAUGAUUAUAUUCAUAUAGCGAAGUCUAUAUGUAUUAUUUGUAGUUCAGAGCUAGGAAAACUCAAUGCCGUCCUUCCUGAUCUUGACUCAGGAAAUCAGUAGUUCCAAGGAUGAUUCAGUCUUGUCUAGUUCCAUAAAUGGAAGGAGGGUGUCUGCAUAAAAAGAUAAGGGGAAUCAGUCAGGAAGCCCAUUUUGAAUAGCUUCAUGAAUCCCUUAAAUUGUUGCUAACUUCAGCAGAACUCAUUAAAGCUAUCACAAUUUU
rnacentral:sRNA from 1 species